AGAUUCCCAUUACCAUUAUUAUUCUUUUCAUACUUAAACUAGUUGCAGCUGGCAUGUUUAGAUCAAGGUCAUAAUUGCAGGGUUUCAAAGGUAUAACAUAAUAAAGAUAUUUAAAUACACUAUGAAUACCUUUGUGCAAUUCGCAUGUCAGUAAGUAGAUAGAUUUUGGAAAUCUUAUGUUCAAAUGUACAAUUUCAGGUCAAGCUCCUGCUGCACACGGAACUUCAAUCCAUUACAGUUUCGACUAUGCCCAGCAAGUGUUCUUAACCCACACUAUGCACAGCAAGUGGAGCCAAUAUUCUUCAAAACGGCCAGGAAGUGCGGCUGCUUUAGGGUGUGCUGUGAAUCCUCAGUUACGGUGUCUGACGUGUUCUGAAGGGCCUGCAUAAAACAUAGAGUUCAGUUUGAUGUAAGAAGGGCACACAAAGUUCAGUCCGGACUGGCAUUUUGGUCUGUGGAAGACCAAAUGGAGGCAGUGCACUGCUGAAACAAUGGAGGAACCUGAAAAAAUACCAUCACUUCAGGAUUUCAGCCCACAAGCCCUACAGUGUGUUUGUGAGAGAACAUGGCAAGGUCAAUGAGAUAGAGGUUCAAGUUGGCAAGCCUGCAUCUAUUGCCCUGCUCAGAUACUAUCCAGAGCAAAUCCAGCUGAAAGGACUGGAUGCCAAAAGGCGCUGGUACCUCUACGACCAGAUUGCCCCAUAUUGCUUCAACCGAAGCGUCUGCUCAAAGCCUACAGUGCCAAGACCAUAAAAUAAAAAAUAAAACAUUUUAACACUUGGUGCCAAUAAAUGUGAUGAACACAUUUAUAACA